GGCACCUAACAAUUGGCAGGAUACAUGAGUGACACAUCACGCGGCAGAGGCUGGCAUGCCGUACUUACUCAUUGAGAACCAAGCUCUUUCCGACCUCCGACAAGGGGCACAGUUCUUAGCAGCGCGCCUCACUUGGUCCUCACCACCUGGCACCUGCAGCUGUUCCACAUGGGUUACGCCGUGUAGUGGAAGGGAGGAGCACCAUGUCUGCCCUUCGGC